rnacentral:rRNA from 1 species
AGGGUUCGAUUCUGGCUCAGGAUGAACGCUGGCGGCGUGCCUAAUACAUGCAAGUCGAACGAGGUAGCAAUACCGAGUGGCGAACGGGUGAGUAACACGUAGGUAACCUGCCCUUAAGCUUGGGAUACCCAGAGGAAACUUUGGCUAAUAUCGGAUAACAACAGACGAAGGCAUCUUCUUUGCUUGAAAGGCCCCUUCAAGGGUCACUUAACGGAUGGACCUGCGGCGCAUUAGCUAGUUGGUGAGAUAACAGCCCACCAAGGCGAGGAUGCGUAGCCGAACUGAGAGGUUGAUCGGCCACAUUGGAACUGAGACACGGUCCAAACUCCUACGGGAGGCAGCAGUAAGGAGUUUUCGGCAAUGGGGGAAACCCUGACCGAGCAACGCCGCGUGAGCGAUGACGGCCCUAUUGGGGUUGUAAAGCUCUGUUGUAAGCCAUGAAUGACAGCUUGAGGAAAUGCAAGUUGUUUGACGACAGCUUACCAGAAAGCCACGGCUAACUACGUGCCAGCCGCAGC